rnacentral:rRNA from 1 species
UACGUAGGGUGCGAGCGUUAAUCGGAAUUACUGGGCGUAAAGCGUGCGCAGGCGGUUUUGUAAGCCAGAUGUGAAAGCCCCGGGCUCAACCUGGGAAUGGCAUUUGGGACUGCAAGGCUGGAGUUUGGCAGAGGAGACUGGGAAUUCCUGGUGUAGCAGUGAAAUGCGUAGAUAUCAGGAGGAAUACCGAUGGCGAAGGCAGGUCUCUGGGCUAUAACUGACGCUCAUGCACGAAAGCGUGGGGAGCAAACAGG